rnacentral:rRNA from 1 species
CCCUUAGACGUUCUGGGCCGCACGCGCGCUACACUGACACAGGCAACGAGCUUUCCUUUACCGAAAGGUAUGGGUAAUCUUUUGAAACUGUGUCGUGCUGGGGAUAGAUCCUUGCAAUUUUUGAUCUUAAACGAGGAAUUCCUAGUAAGCACAAGUCAUCAGCUUGUGUUGAUUACGUCCCUGCCCUUUGUACACACCGCCCGUCGCUCCUACCGAUUGAAUGUUCCGGUGAGCUCUUCGGACUGCGCGGUCUGCAGUUUCUGCGUUCCGUGCGGAAAGUUGCGCAAACCUUAACAUUUAGAGGAAGGAGAAGUCGUAACA